AGGUGGAGGUGGAGCAGGAGGUGUUUGAGAAGAAUGUGGUGGUGGAGGUGGAACAGGUGGUGUUCGAGGAGGUGGAGGUGGAGGUGGAACAGGCGGUGUUCGAGAUGAAGGUGGUGGAGGAGGUGGAACAGGUGGUGUUCGAGAAGGAGGUGGAGGUGGAACAGGCGGUGUUCUAGAUGGAGGAGGUGGUGGAGGUGGAACUGGCGGUGUUCGAGAUGGAGGAGGUGGCACUGGCAGUGAUCGAGGAGGUGGAGGAGGUGGAACAGGUGGUGUUUGCACCCGCGCAACACUGUGUGAAAAUGUAGGCAUCAAAGACGGGGUGUCUGGAUAUUCCAUCGUUGCACUGUGCUUGUUAUCUAGAAACUGCGGUUGAGACAACGAGACUUCAGGUUCAUUAAGUAGUGUAGAAGGCAGAG
rnacentral:lncRNA from 1 species